ensembl:lncRNA
GCAUGGCACCCCACAGCUUCCAGGAACCAUGAGUGAUUAUACAGUGCGGCAAAUUCUUAAGAAUCGGAGUCUAUUUGAGAUUAAUCCCGCAGCAUGUGACCAGGUUCCUGUGGAAAGCUUCAUCUGCUCUGAAACGCCCGCGUCCGUCGACUGACCGCAGCAGGUGCAGAGGCUCCUGAAGUAGCUAUAUAUAUUAAAUAUAUUAAAUAGACUAAUGGUUAAAUCAAUUCUUUAGUUAACAAGAACUCCCUUACUGUAGCGAACACAUUAGCGAAUAUUAACACAAUUAGUAAGUGAUUACUAGACCAUUAGUAAAAUGUUAAUUAACUGUUGGUUAAUGUUAAUGAAUGCAUUUACUAUUGUUAAUUAAUUGUUCAUUAAUGUACCCUUGUUGUGAAGUGUUACUAAUAUGUCUCUUGUCAG